GAAGUAAUCGGUCACAAUCUCACGACGAUUAAAACGGUGCCAUUUCACUCAAAAUCUCCAAUUGAUUUUUUUCAGAUUGCGACUGAUUUGUCGGCACAAUCUUUAUAGGGUUUAUAACAAUUCCCUUCUUGGUCGUGCGAUAGUUGCCCCCUUUUCCCUCCUCUUUUCUACUAUCCUUCUCACUGUGUAAUUUCUCUCUCUUGCCGAAGCAGAGAUUGUUGCUAUCACCGAAGGUUACUAUUGUCACCGGAAACUGCCAAGCUUGCUGCUGCGUUGUUCCCCUCAUUUCAGAUGAUUAGAGGCAGGGGGUCGAUUCAGACGCGCCCGAGGCCGAACCUCAUGGAGGUCAUGACCGAGGACGUUACACACAUGGCCAAGGGAGGGCUAUCCCUCCCCUACCUCCUCCUCCUUCUCUUUCUGGUACACCUAGGCAUUCGCCAUUAGUUCGACCACCUGUGCCACAGCCACCUCCACCUCCACCUCUAAUUCCUUCUUCUUCUGAACCAUUUGUUGGACCAUCAGAGAGUUCACUAGCUUCAUAGAUCCCUUUUGCACAAGCAUAUAUCCGUCCUCUCAAGCAUCAGGCAAAUUACAAGGGUAUUCAAGUUACAUUUACAUAUAAAUGGAUACACAUGGGAUAUUGUACCUAAAGAUAUGAAGGACUUUAUUAGGACAAGUUUCAAGUAUGCUCCUAAUAUUCAUUAACUUUAAUCAAAUAUCGCAAUAAAUGCAACCACUAACUGAUAAGGAGAUAAAUAUUGUCUUCUAUUUUUGCAAAAGCAUUUUGUAUGGGAGGAGGAUAUUACAGCGAUGCUUAAAGUGGCUGGGGAGAAACUGUGCGCUUUGUGAUACUCUGACUUCACGUAUAGGAUGCAAAAGAGUGGAAUGAAGCAGCAGUGUGUAUCUCAUGAGAUAUGGGAGAGCUGGCAGAAUGCUUGGGAGGAUCCUGCGUUUAAGAGAAAUUAUGAGAUGUUCGCACCUAAUAGACGAAGUGAGACGAGCAGUGAUGGAGCAGGUCCUUCGAGACACACUAGUGGCUCCAUCUCUACUAUAGAGACAUCUCAACUACUGGUGAGACAGAUAAAAUGAUAAAAUUGAUAUUUAGUGCAAUAAUGAUGUAAAUAUUAAUAUUAUGUGUUGAAUUGCAAUGCAUGCUGAAAAAAUGGGUCAUAUAAUAUGAUGGGGAGACUUUUGUCGACAAGCAUGCGGUGGGCGUCAAUGAGAAUUACACUGUGGUUCACGAGCAUGUUCUCUCUUCCUAUGCUGAAGCUGGAGUUGAGCCGACCAUUGAUGAUGCCGGGCUAUAUUUGGAGGCUGCAAGAGGCAAGAAGAAGAGGAAGGUGUACAGUAUCAGCUCACAUGCAGCACAAUUCUAUACCAGCUCAGCGGAUCCCUAUCAUGGUGCUUCCGGACGAUCACAAUCAGAGCUUAGUGCCAAGGAGAUUAGUCUGCUACGGGCUCAUCUUGAUGAGCAACAGGAGAGGCAGCUCACAAAGCUUAGAGCGCAUGUGAUGCAGAUGUCUCGCCCACAGAGUGAUGUUGCUUCCUCACAUCCUCCGACUGUUUCAGAUCCACCAGUGGCUCCUCCUAGUCCUCAUCCGACACUUUUAAUUUCUCCUACUAUUCCUCCUUCAGAUACUGCACCUAGUGACGAAGCUGGGAUUUUUCCUUAGGGGGCGAAAUUCAUUAUUUCAUACAAUGAAUAAAAAAUAAAUCGAAUUAAAAAUAAA